UACGGAGGGUGCGAGCGUUGUCCGGAAUCACUGGGCGUAAAGGGCGCGUAGGUGGCGCGGGAAGUCAACGGUGAAAGUUCGGGGCUCAACCCUGAAUCGGCCGUCGAUACUCCCGGGCUCGAGCACUGUAGAGGCAGAUGGAAUUCCGGGUGUAGCGGUGGAAUGCGUAGAGAUCCGGAAGAACACCGGUGGCGAAGGCGGCCCGCUGGGCAGUGACUGACGCUGAGGCGCGACAGCGUGGGGAGCAAACAGG
rnacentral:rRNA from 1 species